rnacentral:rRNA from 1 species
AUGGCUCGCCGCAAGGUCCCCAUGAGGCUCAUCGAGAAGGCGCGGGCGCGCGCCGAGACCCACGCCAGGAGGACCAAGGGGCUGCAGAAGAAGGCGUCGGAGCUCGCCACGCUCUGCGCGGUCCCGGUCGCGCUCGUCUGCUCUGCCGGCGCCGGGGCUCCGCCGCUCGUGUGGGAGUCGGAGGAGGGAGUGCUCGAGAGGUACCGGCGCGCCGUCCCGGCGGAGGCCCGCGCGCGGCACACGCAGCGGAGCUACAUGGAGACGGAGCUGGGCAAGGAGAAGGCCAAGCUCGCCCGGGCGCGGCACGGCUGCCCCGGCGCGCUCGCGGACUGGGACGCCGCGCUCACCGGCAUGACGCUGGAGGAGGCGCGGGGGCUGCUCGAGACCAUCGACGCGGCGCUGCGGGCCACGGGAGACAGGAUGGAGGCGCUGGGCAUACCUGCCGACGGCGGCCACGGCUCGCUCGAGGAUUCUUCCGACGACGCCUUCAUGCCGCAGCAGCUGGGGCACGGUGGCGGCAACCCCGUGGACAUGGACGCCCCCGCCUUCCAGCAGCUGCAGAUGGUGCCGUUCCACGCUGGGAACAACGAGGGCAACUCUCGCAAUUCUCAUGGGACGAUCCCUUCCAGACGCAGCAAGGGUGCGGCGGCUUCCAAUGCGUCGGCGGUAACUACUCGGGCGGCGGCUACGAGAUGCUCUCACCAGGCUUCACCAAUGCUGACAACAACUGCUCGGCCGGCGUCGACGAGAUGCUCGUAG